AAACACAGAUUUUAUAUAAUAUAAUAAAAUAUCCAUUAUUGAUAUGUACAUAUUUUUUAAAAUAGAAAUUAUAUAGUGGUUGAGUAAGAGUCACCUGUCCUGUGAGGCAUCUGAGAGCAUUUUUUUUUUUAAAAACAGCAAAAAAACCCCCCCAAAAAACAACAACUUGCAGAGCAUCAGGAUUCGAGCAUGUGCACGACGAACAGUAAACCACAUGAACCUCACUCAUUUACAGUUGUAGCUUUCCCCUCCCCACGGUGGCCCGAAAAGAGUUUCCUAUGGACCGACAACACAGCUGUACGCCAUUCGUCCGAUCUGAAAGACGGCUAACGGGACAAAGGGCACGAGUGAGGAGAGGGAAACGAGGGAGAGAUGCUCGCUGAAUCGCCCAGCCCACCCCUGUGCAGGACGGGGAGCACCUCUCUUCCUCUCUGCUCAUAGCUGCUUUCUCCCGGCCCUCAGCCAUUUUGGAGAGAGCAAAAAGUGGCUGCUUUCUCUCUCCCUCUCUCACUACGUGGCAUAGCUUUAGAAAGGUUUCGGCUGCUGUGUUUGUAGCAGCAGAGAAGACACACUUUGCAGCUUGCACUUUGGGAGAUAUUAUGUUUGCAGAGAAAAAAUUCUGACGCGAAAACAAAACCCUUCCAUCUCGACUUUUUAUUUUUUAAUGAAUUUUUCCUUUUUUUUCGUUUCCCUUGAAUUCAGCUGCUAAGCCUCUCUCCUCCUUGCUGUGCACUUUUCACUCAUGCUGUUUCCUUUUCUUUAAUAACUUGCGCUGUAGUUUUGGUGGCCGGUCCAAUCCCUCUUUUCUUUUUUAAAGUCAUGUUUUCUCAUCUCUCAAUUUGAUUUUUUUUUUAUGUAACAGAGUUCAAGACAAAGGGAUAUGUCCAUAUUUUGGCAGCACUAAGAAGAGACAGAGCAGCAGCCAAGGAUCCUGCUGGGAUCCAAAAAAGCCAAGCAGAAUGAAGCACCAAAAAAAAAAAAAAAAAAAAGAAAACACCACCCUUUCCUUUGCUUGGUCAGAAAUUCCACUUUCUCUGUAGCCAGCCCUGCGCUGCGACUCCUCCUCAUCCACAUCUUACCGCAUUCAACCUUUUGCCAUUUCUCUCUUGCCGUACCUUUUUUUUUAAAGCCGAUUUGAGGUUUUUGUACCCCGGAAAAUGGGGACUGGACAACGGGUUAUGAGUGCGUAACUAGGAGAGAACAAGGGGAUGUUUUCUUCUUACUUUCGGUUGUGAUUUAGCGUUUUUUUCUGCUAUUAGUGUUAUUAUUGUUGUGCUUCUUAUAGUUUUUAGUCGUUUGUAUUUUUAAGGGUGUGCUUGGAUCACCACGUGUUUGUGUGGUUUGGGGAAUGUGUGUGAACGGGUGUAUACUCCCUGUGAAUGUUAGACUUGCUGCUCUGUUCCCAAUCAGUUUGUGAUGAUUUACAUUCUGCUUUUUUUGUUGUUGUUUUGUUUUGGGUUUUUUUUACAUUUUUAUUUUAGGUUUCUUGAUUUCUCCUAAAGCGUUGGCCUACACUUCUCUUCGAGCCUGACUUCAUCUGAGUGUAGAGGACGUUUGACCACCAUGUCCAGCUUAUGCCUUACUGUCUUGCAUGUCUGAGCAGCAGACGGCUAGACGGCAGCAAUCUGCUAGAGCAGGCUCAUGUGCUAGCCCGAAUUAUCCAUUCAACAAAGCCUGCGCUAGCAGCACUAAAAUCUUCCUCUAUUCUUCUCUCCAGCAUUCAUUUUUUUCUCCCCUCUCUCUCUCCGAUUUUUUGCCCGGCUACAUCCUCUCUCCCUUUGCUAGGCUGACCGGCACAGGCGUACAGAGAAGACUGCGGCAGCCUCCGCCACCUCGGUCAGCUGGAGCUUGCUACACUCGUUGCUGCACACCGCCGCCAUCUUGUUACUGCCUGUGCUACUGGUCUGCCUGCCUUUGCUGCACUCAAACCAAAUCAUCAAACUCAGCCUGCGGUUGUUUCCAUGCCACUCCUGUUUGUGCGCAGCUUUGUCACAACACAGUGCUGCGCACGAGCUACCGGACACAUGUCGUUGCUGCACAGAAGCAGACACACCUGGAACUUUUAUCUGGGUGUUUCUUUAAUAGCUGCCACAGAUUGGAUGCUGCAGACGGUGUUGUCAGCAUCUCUCAAACCAUCAGUAAGAUCUGUACCAUUGUAAUACACACUAUGCCCGAUGUAGAUUUAGCUAAGGAUUUGACAUGCCGUACACCAUUAAAACAAGUAAAAAUAAGUGAAAUGUUAUUUUACAAAUUUACAAAUGAUUCAAAGUGGCAUGUCUUCUUUGCAGGAUUUAAGAAAAUUGCUCCCGUCGAAGAAAAUCAAUAACCACAAUCUGUCCCUUAUUCUGUGUAUAUAUUUUUCUCCAGAGCCCAUAUGCCUGAGCACAUAUACUGUAUAUGCUAUCUUUGUGAGCUUGUGUGCUGUAAAGAGAGAGUGGGAAAGAGAAAGGAGGGGAGUGAGAAAGAAAGAGAAAGAGAGAGGAAUCAAGCGUCGGUAAGAAAGUCUUCCUAAUUCUGUUUGGCAGAAACUGUGCUGUUUAACCAUAUGUGCAGAGAGCAGGCUUUGCACAUGCUCAGAAUGACUCAGAGGACACGACUUUCAUGUCUCAACGCAAUUAGAUUAACUAAUAGAUAAUUUUCCAGCAAAUAUAAAUAAGUUACAAUGAAGUCAUAAAUAAUUUAAAAAGUGUGCACUCUACCUUGAAUUAUUUUUGUUGUACUCACAGUAUGAGGUUAAAACAUGGGCAUUAGAAGGAGAGCGGGAUACAAACACAGCAAGUAUAUUCCAGCUUAUGGAAAUCUUAUUGCUGUAUUUAACCGUGCUUUGGUGAAAAACAAGUGGAAGUGUGUAGGUGGAGGCCAGAGUGAUACAGCAGUGAGUUCAGAAGGUCUUCAAUCCUCUAAGACUAUAUGCCAAGAAGACACCAUGCUAAUGAAAUCAUAAAGACGGUGAAGAAAACAAGCUGUCCCUGGAGAAUACAUCCAUGCAUCGGAGGUUGCCAGUUUUACUUUACUUGUGUCUGGGUAUACAUGUACUGUAGCUUUGCAGUGAUACUGUAUUUAUAAGGUCAAAGGCUGCUUUGCUUCAGGGUUAAAAUGCUCUCAGCCUUUAUCUUAUGAUUACCUUCAUCAGGUCAGUGAAGAUCACCCUUUGCCCCACCAGCUGAGUGGGACAGCGGGUUACAAGAGGUAUGCAAAUCACAGUAAUAUUUAUUAUGUGUAACAAGGAAGAAAAUUUAAAAAAGAAAAAGAGUUUAAAUCACUGCUGAUAUUACUAUGAAAUACAGGGUACAAUUAGAAUUAGAUAGAAAUGAUCAAGAUGCAAUUAAUGUUCAUACUUUAAAUAUUGGACAGAAAUAUGACGUUGAAUAAUUUUGGCCACUUUUAUACACAGUCCGCCAUCUUUAGGUGCUUAAAUGCAGUCGAACGAACGCUCAUUAUAAGUUGGGGGUGGUUUCAGUUACAGAACCAGCAGUUCUGGCCUAUUCAGAGAGCUCAGGUGGUGGAGCAGGUGGUGGAGCAGGUUUGGGCAGGACACUGAACCCCUAGUUGCUCUCGAUGGCAGAUGAGCUGUCUGAACACGUGUGGCCUAUAAAUGCCGAUCGUCUAAAAUUUGUACUUUUAAUACUUUGUCAGGAAUCAUUUGCAGGCAGUCUGAUUUCUGAAACCUUCGGAAAUUAAUGCUUCUGCGUUUCUUCAGUUGUUUGUUUACGCGUCUUGUCAUCAGGGAGUGAAAUUCAUACUCAGUCAGACUGAGAUUGGCCGAGAAAGUUAAAUUGUCUGCAUUGUGGUUGACUAUAAUCAAUGCUGACAUUGCUUGUUGUCCUCAUUGUGUAAGGAUGGAAUCAUUACACUGUUACCAAGUAACAGUGUAAUGAUUCUUACAAUGAUUCUUGAGUGUAUUACGUACAGAGCAAAGAAUUCGUAGUUUAUUGAGCUACCAGGUCUCACGCAGAGUUAACUUUGAAUUAAUGAUUAAAAGCAAACAAUUGUCAACUGAUAGUUUUCAUGAAUGUUAUUAAUCUAGUUUGAAAUUUCAAAUUCAGUUGGAGUUUCAGAGACUUCAGAGCAGAUCGCUGAAACAAUACCGAAGCAAUAUUGCUGCAUUUUAAAUUCAUUUUUAAAUCCAUUUUUAAAUCCGUCCAUCCAAGUCAUCUUUGGGCAAAAUGCAGGAUAUACUGUGGACUCAUUACCAGUCUAUCACAUGGCUAAUACAGAACACUUGCAGUCCAUCAGCUAAGAAUGGCUGCACAAUUAGAUCCCAUUUAGAGGAAUUAUUCACUGUCAAAAAGUCCAAUUUAUGCAGAAAGCACAUAAGAGCAAAUAUGAAUUUCUUACUGGAAGGUAAGCUCCAUACUGGAACAUCACAAUACAAGUUCAGAGAGCUUGUCCAAUGAAAUAAUUCAUUAUAAUCCAAAGUGAGCCUUCAGUCAGCUUGGGAGUUGUCCUGCUAUGUUUUUAUGAUCCAGUUAACAGAAAUAAAGCUCUCAACUCUCCGGCUUGAGUAAUGACGUAAGCAGUUAACGAUUGGAAGAAUUUCUUUUGGACAAGAGCGGAGGACGUUGAUCAUUCAGGGUCAACAAUGAGCGCCUCAUUUGUUCUUUUGUUUUCCCAUUUGUAGUAUAAAUAGAAGCAGUUCAGCCUUCAGUGGAGAGUUUGUGGAGCAUACUUACUGAGUGUCGAAUGCAAAGAUGUUGCAUUCUUUAUUAUUCCAUAUCGACUGUCCUGGAAUCCGUUACACCAUUUACCAGAAUUGCAGUCCAAAAAGUAUGUAAAUCCCAGCUGGGAAUGGGUGGAGAAUCCCAAGGUUUGUGCAUGUGACAUGAACUAUUCAUUCUUCCUCUUUUUCUGUCAAAGCAUGACUUCUUAAAAAGAGUUACAGGUGUAUCUGGGCCCACCUUAUUGUUACAUAUAUAUAAUGCACAGCUGUCAAAAGUAAAUAAAGUCAAAAUCACAAACGUCCUUUGUCAGGUGUUCACAUUUAAUUGCUCCUUCAGAAAUAAAUGCAAAAUCUUUGGAAAACAGGAUAAUCUGCUAACAAGUGCCAUUUCCUCACCCAGAGGAUCCAUACUUGAGACUUUGUUUCUCCCGGAAUAAAAUUUUUCCUCAUUUUCAGUGAGGAACCAACCAAAAACCAAAAGGUUUUGACAUUCAUUGUUCUCCCAGAAGAUGCAUCUGCAGACAAUCCCUAACUUUCUCCUCUAGUGCUACCAGCACAAUGAUGUACGGGUGUAUGUGGUUUUAAAAUUCAUAAGUCACCAAAUACUGGAUGGAUUUCCAUUAAAGUUUGUGCCAAUAUUCAUAUCCUUCAGUGUACCUGUCUGCAUUUUUUUUUUAAAGUGUCCAGUGUUCCAGUAUUUUGGCUUGCGAUUAAACAACUGCAAAGCUAGUGAUUUGCUGCAUUACUUACAUAUUGCAGUCAUGAAUAAGAGAAGAGACUAGCCUUUCCUGGUAGACUGCAGUGAAUUAUCUUCACAGCAGCAGAGUAGACAUAGAUUGCAUGACAUGGUGCAGUUUGCACAUGGAAUGCAGAAAGAUUUCAGGCACUGAGUGAUGAAGGCCAGAUGUUUGAGUUAUGCAUAGGAAGUCAGUGGUCUACAGUUGCUACCGGGUACUGUAUGAAACGAUGAUGCCAGAAACCAUCGCCGGCAUAUACCAUGUAAUUAAAUUUAAGGAAACCCACUCACAUAUUACAGCUUGUAUAUAAAAGCAAUACAUGUUCCAGGUUUGAAAAAAACAGACAUCAAAAAACAUUACA